rnacentral:rRNA from 1 species
UACGGAGGGUGCAAGCGUUAUCCGGAUUUACUGGGCGUAAAGGGUGCGUAGGUGGGUAUGUAAGUCAGUGGUGAAAUCUCCGUGCUUAACACGGAAACUGCCAUUGAUACUAUGUUUCUUGAAUUUUCUGGAGGUUAGCGGAAUAUGUCAUGUAGCGGUGAAAUGCUUAGAUAUGACAUAGAACACCAAUUGCGAAGGCAGCUAACUACAGGGAUAUUGACACUGAGGCACGAAAGCGUGGGGAGCAAACAGG